rnacentral:lncRNA from 1 species
CCGACAACCGCCAUGGAUGUGGGGACAAAGAGGUCGCUCAACCAUCGCCUCCCCACUCUACCCCGGUCGCCUGCCUAUCCCUCCGGUCGACCUGCAGCUAGGGGAGGUCUCGACCUGCAGCAAUACGCCCUUCGUCGGUGGCGACUUCCACCGUGUCCUUCCCUCCGUCGGCCGUGACGACGCCUCUGUCGGCUGCUGCAACCUUCAGAUUAGUCAACGUCAACGCUCGUUCGUGCCAAAUCUAUGUCCCCUCCCAUACCACGGGCUCUUCCUAGCCAUGUAGAGGUAAACUGUUACAUGGAGCAUAAACCUAACACUAGUGCCCAUAGUUUACGACCACCACAUAAAACGGAGAAGAGCUAUGCAAGAGAAUCCAUAGAUCAAUCACUAGACAACGUUCACCAGCUCGGGUUAAUGGCGCAUUACAUAGAACAAUUAGUGUGCCACAGCAAGAUGCUUCAGGUUUUUCAAUUUGUUCACCGCAACCAUACAAUCAUCUUCAAAGACUACACGGGAGUUGUAUAGGUCCAACACUAAUAGAUUAGCAAACGUCAGUGCACAAUCUUCAGCAUUUUCAUGUACAAUUCUUCACAGAAGCGUUGAACGUUUGUCUGAGAAAUUGGAAUGUAAAACUAAGGUACAAUUCUUCAGAGAACUUAGUAGCAUGGAAGCAGCCCCCGUCUGUUGUGUUGCCGCUUGAGGUCGACGCAUCCGGACGCCACUGUGAUGGAUGUCGCUACCUGCAAAUCACACCCACCGCCACCGAGCACAGCCGCUUGGUGGCGCUGGUAGCACGACGCCGCUCUACUUCACCCCCAUGGCCGAUGCAGCCAGCGUGCGUGUCACCUACGCAGUUCCACUCCCCUGCCACAUGGUCUGCAUCCUUGGUGAAGCUGCAUGUUCUGACGUCGUGUAUAUUCUUGUCUUCCCCAUGCGGCGUCCUCACCUUGGCUCCUCGGGCGCCCUACCUACCGAUGAGAGGAUGCUAUGACGCGGGAAGCGCCCUCGUAUUGACCAGUUUUGGCUGCCGCGCCUCGGAUCUCGACGUUGUGGGAAGUCUCGGAGCCGCCGUGUGGUGUUCCCGCCAGCAGCAUCUCAAGGGGCGUGGGAGAGUUAGUGCGGAGAUGGGCCAAUCCCUAAAUGAUUUUUGCUAAUCAUUGCGAUAAAAGGGGGUUAUCUGUUAAUUAUGUUUAAGUGUAUGCUCGGGGAUCCCAACUUUAACCCGUUGCGUCCAUUAUAGAUCUUAUGGCCCAUGUAGGAAUUUUCAGAUUUUCACUGAAAAGUCAUUUUCACCGGAUACUUCGCCUUUUAAAAAAACAGCUCAUAAAAUGAAAACCAAUUGUU